rnacentral:rRNA from 1 species
GUGACCUGCGGAGGAUCAUUAAAGAGACGUUGCCCUUCGGGGUAUACCUCCCACCCAUUGUUUAUUAUACCUUUGUUGCUUUGGCAGACCCGGCUUCGGCCCACCGGCUCCGGCUGGUCAGUGUCUGCCAGAGGACCUAAAACUCUGUUUGUUAAUAUUGUCUGAGUACUAUAUAAUAGUUAAAACUUUCAACAACGGAUCUCUUGGUUCUGGCAUCGAUGAAGAACGCAGCGAAAUGCGAUAAGUAAUGUGAAUUGCAGAAUUCAGUGAAUCAUCGAAUCUUUGAACGCACAUUGCGCCCAUUGGUAUUCCUUAGGGCAUGCCUGUUCGAGCGUCAUUUAAACCUUCAAGCUAAGCUUGGUGUUGGGUGACUGUCCGCUUCACUGCGGACUCGCCUCAAAAUUAUUGGCGGCCGGUACAUUGGCUUCGAGCGCAGCAGAAACGCGAACUCGGGCCCGUCGUAUUGGCUCCCAGAAGCUAUCUUCACAAUUUUGACCUCGGAUCAGGUAGGGAUACCCGCUGAACUUAAGCAUAUCAAUAAGCGGAGGA